GUAACACGUGGGUAACCUACCUAUAAGACUGGGAUAACUUCGGGAAACCGGAGCUAAUACCGGAUAAUAUUUCGAACCGCAUGGUUCGAUAGUGAAAGAUGGCUCUGCUAUCACUUAUAGAUGGACCUGCGCCGUAUUAGCUAGUUGGUAAGGUAACGGCUUACCAAGGCAACGAUACGUAGCCGACCUGAGAGGGUGAUCGGCCACACUGGAACUGAGACACGGUCCAGACUCCUACGGGAGGCAGCAGUAGGGAAUCUUCCGCAAUGGGCGAAAGCCUGACGGAGCAACGCCGCGUGAGUGAUGAAGGUCUUCGGAUCGUAAAACUCUGUUAUUAGGGAAGAACAAACGUGUAAGUAACUGUGCACGUCUUGACGGUACCUAAUCAGAAAGCCACGGCUAACUACGUGCCAGCAGCCGCGGUAAUACGUAGGUGGCAAGCGUUAUCCGGAAUUAUUGGGCGUAAAGCGCGCGUAGGCGGUUUUUUAAGUCUGAUGUGAAAGCCCACGGCUCAACCGUGGAGGGUCAUUGGAAACUGGAAAACUUGAGUGCAGAAGAGGAAAGUGGAAUUCCAUGUGUAGCGGUGAAAUGCGCAGAGAUAUGGAGGAA
rnacentral:rRNA from 1 species